rnacentral:ncRNA from 1 species
UGUGCCGCAAGGCGGACUUAUGCUGUACCCACAGCGUAGCAGCUAGAACCUGCAUCGGACUUCUAAAUAGGAGAAAACAAAUG